AUAAAAACACCAUCUGUCUUUCAAAGAGGUUGCAUCAUCCAUUACAUCAAGCAGUUAACUAAAAAUGAAGGCUGUUUUGGCUCUGUUGGUCGUCCUCGGAUUUGCCUCUUCUGCUCUGGCUGGAAGUUACGGUGGGGGUGGUGGAGGUUACUAUAAUUACUACAAACCAGCCAUUUAUCCUCAAUAUGGAUACGUUAAACCGUACUAUCCGGCACCCGUUGUUAAGGGAGGUGUUGGUUUUUCUGACGGGUCAGGAAUAAUCAUCCCUAUAAUCAUAAUUUUUGUCUUGUUGGCUGUCUUCGCACCAGUGCUUAUUGGCUCCCUGGUUUCCAGUAAUGAAGCUCUCUGGGACUCAAUUGACAGAAAAUAAAAAUAAUACAGGAAUCAAUAGGAAAAGGGAAAAAAUGUUGUACUUUCACUGCCUGUAUCACAAUAAAUAUUUUGUACGUCGAUAAAAAA